UACGGAGGGUGCAAGCGUUAUCCGGAAUCACUGGGUUUAAAGGGUGCGUAGGCGGUCUUGUAAGUCAGUCGUGAAAUCGCUGGGCUCAACCCAUGCAAUUGCGAUUGAUACUGCUAGACUUGAAUGGGGUUAAGGCAGGCGGAAUGUGGCAUGUAGCGGUGAAAUGCUUAGAUAUGCCAUAGAACACCGAUUGCGAAGGCAGCCUGCUGGGCCUUUAUUGACGCUGAGGCACGAAAGCGUGGGGAGCAAACAGG
rnacentral:rRNA from 1 species